UCUCCGUUGGUGAACCAGCGGAGGGAUCAUUACAGAGUUGAAAAACUCCCAAACCCUUUGUGAAUCUACCUAUUGUUGCUUCGGCAGGCGGCCCCUGGGAGGGGCUGUAGCCUUUCGAGGUGCCUGCCGGAGGUAUGAAACUCCUAUAUCUACUGUAUCUUCUGAGCAUAAAUAAAAUAAGUCAAAACUUUCAGCAACGGAUCUCUUGGUUCUGGCAUCGAUGAAGAACGCAGC
rnacentral:misc_RNA from 1 species